AGGAUGAACGCUGGCGGCGUGCCUAACACAUGCAAGUCGAACGUCCUGUCUCGCAAGAGGCAGGGAGUGGCGGACGGGUGAGUACCACGUGGGUCAUCUACCGUGAGGUGAGGAAUACCGGCGAGAAAUCGCCGACAAGACCGCAUAGCCUCGGUGCAAGUCGAGGAAAGCUCUCUCGAGAGAGGGAGCGCCACACGAGGAGCCUGCGCCCGAUUAGCUAGCUGGUGGAGUAACGGUUCACCAGGGCGACGAUCGGUAGCUGGUCUGAGAGGACGAUCAGCCACACUGGGAUUGAGAACGGCCCAGACUCCUACGGGGGGCAGCAGUGAGGAAUUUUCGUCAAUGGGGGCAACCCUGAACGAGCAACGCCGCGUGCAGGAAGAAGGUUUUCGGAUCGUAAACUGCUUUUCUCGGGAAGAGAACGGACGGUACCCGAGGAAUCAGCCCCGGCUAACGUACGUGCCAGCAGCCGC
rnacentral:rRNA from 1 species